rnacentral:tmRNA from 1 species
GGGGAUGCUAGGUUUCGACAAGAUUUUUUAACAAUUAGAUGCUAGGGGUGGAUGACCGUUAAUCACCUUAAAUAUCCGGUCAAACAUAUAGGUGCCAAUUAUACACCUAAUUACGCUUUCGCUUAANNUAAGCCAUUCUGUCUUCGAUACUCGCUAGGAGAUCACAGAGUGUCAUAAACAGCGAGCUUGCCAGCUUUUGAUUCUUCUCCAACUGCUGGGACAUAAUGAGAGGAUAGUCGGAGAUAAUUUUUUCAGCUUUGUACUCUUCGGUGAAACAAUAAACUGAAUAUCUUAGUAGACAUCUAUUUGUACGAAUUUUGGACGCGAUUUCAAUAUCGCCAUCUCCACUA